GACGAACGCUGGCGGCGUGCUUAAUACAUGCAAGUCGAACGGAAAGGCCCUGCUUUUGUGGCGUUCUCGAGUGUCGAACGGGUGAUUAACACGUGAGUACCCUGCCCUUGACUUUGGGAUAACUUUUGGAAACUGCGGCUCAUACCGGAUAUGAGCUCCUGCUCCAUGGUGGGGGUUGGAAAGUUUCGGCGGUUGGGGAUGGACUCGCGGCUUAUGAGCUUGUUAGUGGAGUAGUGGCUUACCAAGGCUUAAACGGAUAGCCGGCCUGGGAGGGUGACCGGGCUCAUUGAGACUGAGAUACGGAGCAGAAUCCGACGGGAGGAAGAAGUGGAGAAUAUAGCACAAUAGGAAGAGGACUGAAGCAAAAACACCGCGUGCGGGAUGACGGACUUAAAGUUGUAAACCACUUUCGCCUGUGACGGAGAGUGAGUGACGGUAAUGAGUAAAGAAGCACCGGGUAAAUACGUG
rnacentral:rRNA from 1 species